rnacentral:rRNA from 1 species
AGUGAACGCUGGCGGUAGGCCUAACACAUGCAAGUCGAACGGCAGCACAGUAAGAGCUUGCUCUUACGGGUGGCGAGUGGCGGACGGGUGAGGAAUACAUCGGAAUCUACUUUUUCGUGGGGGAUAACGUAGGGAAACUUACGCUAAUACCGCAUACGACCUACGGGUGAAAGCAGGGGAUCUUCGGACCUUGCGCGAUUGAAUGAGCCGAUGUCGGAUUAGCUAGUUGGCGGGGUAAAGGCCCACCAAGGCGACGAUCCGUAGCUGGUCUGAGAGGAUGAUCAGCCACACUGGAACUGAGACACGGUCCAGACCCCUACGGGAGGCAGCAGUGGGGAAUAUUGGACAAUGGGCGCAAGCCUGAUCCAGCCAUACCGCGUGGGUGAAGAAGGCCUUCGGGUUGUAAAGCCCUUUUGUUGGGAAAGAAAAGCAGCAGGUUAAUACCCCGCUGUUCUGACGGUACCCAAAGAAUAAGCACCGGCUAACUUCGUU